CCGGCGGCCUUACCGCCUCCACGGCGUGCUGCAGGAUGGAGGUGAACUUGGAGAACAUCCUGUCCCGCGACUGCAGCAGCCGCUGCCGGGAGGACCUCGAGAGCUCCUCGAUCCGCCGCCGCCGCCGCUCCAGGAGAAAAGGAGACAGAAGAGAGCUUUAUUUCACCUCUGAAUCAAAUACUUCAGAGAAAAAGACCAUCCCUCCCAUUUUGCGGUGCUACAGGAAAAGCAGAGGCAUGGAGAGCUACACCCCAAAAACUCCAUGGAAGUAAAUACUAGUUGUAUGUAUGAACCUUUGUUGCAGUUGUUAAAGAGCAGAGCUAUUUCCUUCUCAAAUCCAGGAGUCCCAAUAUGUCAAUAUCAAUUUAAAAGUGGAUAAAUACUGGCAAGCCAAUAGUAAUGAAAUCACUGGAAAGUAAUGGAAGAAUGGUUUCACCAGUGUCAGUGCAGAAGAACUCAGAAGAAGCUCCUGCAGUCUGGACUUUUGCUUCAGAGAGCCUGAAGAUUUGGUGAAUUUUUUUACCCUAGAUGAAAAUGUUCCUCUUAGUGCUAAGCCAAAUAUCUGUUGAUAUUCUGUGCAAGAUUUUAUUGUGUUUGUAAUAAUCAGAUUGACAUCUAUGUUUUUAGUGACUACUUGGAUGAAAUAAAGAAUGAAGUUCUGGUGGUUCA